GGGAUCCUAGAUUAAUGGUAGAUCACUCGCUUUGCAUGCGAGGAAUAUCGGUUCAAUUCCGAUGGAUUCCA
rfam:Candida tropicalis MYA-3404 mitochondrial scaffold supercont3.24, whole genome shotgun sequence.